rfam:Dipodomys ordii contig_25611, whole genome shotgun sequence.
GGUGGCUCAGUGAUAGAGUGCUUGCCUUGCAUGCAUGAGGUCCUGGGUUCGAUUCCUCAGCACCA